GCCCUCCGCCCGCGCGUCAAAACCCUAGCCGCCAGCCCUGCGCCCACUCUGCCUGGUUCUCCUCCCCGCUCGCUCCAUCCUUUCCCAUGUCGUCGCUCCUCUUCUCCUGUCUCUCAUCGGCUGCCUCCUCUCCUCCCCGCAUCGUUGGCCCCCUCCCUCCUCCUCCCUCCUUUGUCCUCACAGCCGACCAUCUCCGUCACUUGGGCCCCAUGGCAGCGGCCGGGUCUUCCAGCCGGGAUUUAGAUGAGGAAAAGGCAAAAUCGAGCGUCUCGAUGGUGCCAUGACUGAUGCACAGCGACGACUAGCGUCUGUGAGCGCCACACAUGGUGCAGCAGGCUCGGAGGGCAGCGGGUGCGGCAGGCUCGGCAAGCAGCGGGUGCGGUGGUCAAGGCUAGGGGCGCGGAUUGGGGAGAUGCGCACACGAGGAGCGACGGCGACCACGUCUGCCGCCAACACCGAGCUGCCGGAGGGGAAAGAGCAGAGGAUCCGAGAGGCGAAGCAACCGGGGGAGCCGGAGAACACGACCCCUGUCCUAUGUACGGCCAUAUCCCCCACGGAUUCUACAAGGACCAGAUGCAAGGUUUCUUUCAGGAGCUUGGGGCUAUUAAGAAGAGGGUCAGUAUUGUCCGGAACCGCAAGAUGAAGUUGGUGGUUCAUGGAGACCCAAGGUGCACUGACAGAAGAUAUCAGAGGAGCAGAGGAAAAUGCAAGUGUGUAUGCGUGUGUGUGAAAAAUUAUUGCCUUAACUCAAGAUCAGCUCUUCGUUCUUUCAAGCGCUAUGUUGCUUACUCAAAUGUUUGUGGCGAUUGUAUCCUUGUGCCAUGAAUAUUUGUACUUAGCAGAUCAAUAUAAACAUAUUGGCUAUCUAUUUACCAAUUCAGAAUUUAAAGCACUUUUUUAUGGCCUUGAGUAAAAAUUCAGUCGUUGUUGGCUGGAAGACAUCUUCAAUACGCCAUCAACACGAGCUUCCCAAGGUAAUGAUCUAAGAGGAAGUGAGUUGGAGAUGAGAUGGGGACAGAAGAUCCUGCAGCGAUGUUGUUUCUUUGUUCUCCUGCUCAAGCUCAGGUGGAUGAGCCCCGUCCUGUGUUAUUCCCCUUGGUUUCUGAAGCUCCCAGGAUUUAAUAAUGAGCUGUCUUGGCCUUCAUUGGACAAAUGAUCUACCUCGAGCAAUGAUACAUUGUAGGUUGGCGUUGAAGCCUGAUGGCGUUUUUCUUGCAGCAAAUCUUGGCAGGAAGACUCUGAAGUGAUAAUCUUAAAUUUGCCAUUCACCGACAUUUUCCAGUUUCUUGUUUGACUUGCCUUUUCUUGGAUGCGAUGAUAAGGGAACUAAGAAUUGCGUGCACUAUUUCUCAAAUGGAACUUAAGGGAGGCAUCAGUCCUCGAAUGUUGCCUUUAGAACAAAAGUAACACUCAAAAGCCUGAAUAGAAUUCCUUGGGAAAGGGUAGAUGUUAGCUUCAAGAGAAGUAGACAAUGGAUUUUUGCCCAUAGCACCAUUCAGCCCUACUACUCCUGAGCCCAAAUCCCAUGACCAUGCCCCCACCUCUCCUUUGUUGAAUGAAGGGAGUCUGGUUGCUAAAAAGUGAGUUUUCUUAAUCAGUAUGUAUGGCCCCUCUGCACAUGCUGUUUCUUCGUAUUUAUGAGGCCCUCAAGCUUUGUCAGCUUUCUGAUAGAUAUGGAAUUUUAAUUUGAUAGUCCCAACAAUGGUGGGUACUGAUGGAGCUAUCUAUUAUUUAUUGUCAAUCUGUAAUACUUUUGUCAGCUUCUAGCAUGUCGUUGCUUUGCCAGCUUGCAAUUUUCUCUGCAUGGCAUACACCAGUUACCAUUAGUUGAUAUGUUUGUUGAAGUUUUAUUGCAAGUUAAAUAAAUGUAUAGUGUGGCAUACUGAUUAUUAUAGUUUGAUAAUGUCAGGUGCCGAUGGCUUUAGAUAUGUAAAUAAAAUAUGGUGAUUGUUACCGGCAUGUAGUGUGGCAUACUAAUCAAAUGACUAAGCAUUUAAUUAUUGUUCUGUUAUGUUAUUGAUUUCACCGGCUUUAUGUCGGCCGAUUAGUUCUGAUGGAUUCCACAUCGGCUAAUUUAGAUUAUGUUACUAGAGUAUUAGAAGAAGUUCCUAAUAUAAUAUUGAUGACCAGGCAUUAUACUGCGCAUAAGCACAAUUUUUUAGUUUUUCUUUUUAUUGUUGCAGCAGCUUUUCUAUAGCAAUAGCCAAAUAGUGUGACAUAACACUAUUCCAUUUUCACAGGCCAUAACACAUCUUUACAUAGUGAGCUACCAUCACUUCUCAUUACUGACCGUAAUCAAUAUAUAUGUGUUUAUGCCAUAAAAGAUGGAUAUUUGUCGAAGCCAUUGUCGUGUCAUGUAAUUACUUGGAGAUCAGCUAUAUAGUUUUGUUCGGAUUGUAAAGUAGAAACGACAACUCCCGUGUGAUUGCCAUUUGAUUAUUUACUUCCUCAAGUAGUAUGGAUAUGGUGCUGCCAGGAUAUUAAGUAUAUUCAUGAAGUUGUAUAAACCACGUUCUACGAUUCACUUCUGUUAUGCAUAUUUACUUUCCAGUUUUAGGAUUGAAA